rnacentral:tRNA from 1 species
GCGCCUGUAGCUCAAUUGGAUAGAGCAAUUCCCUCCUAAGGAAAAGGUUCCCCGUUCGAUUCGGGGCAGGCGCGCCA